rnacentral:lncRNA from 1 species
GGUUAGGUGCAGGACUAGGUCGCCGACUCUGAAUUCUUUAUUCUUGAUAUGGGAGUUAUAAUAUCAGGCCAUCUUUUGUUGGUAAGCUGCCAUCCGACCUCAUGCUUUUUUACGGACUUCUUCCAGUAAAUCUAGAUUUGCUCGAAGAUUUUUCGUGUUGGCUUCAUUGCUAUAAUUUUCGAUCCAAAAUGAUGAAAGCCCAAUCUCCACUGGUAUAACGAUCUCUAUUCCAAAGGAAAGGUUGAAGGGAGUCUCAUCUGUUGGAGUCCUUUGAGUGGU